GACGAACGCUUGCGGCGUGCUUAACACAUGCAAGUCGAACGGAAAGGCCCUGCUUUUGUGGGGUGCUCGAGUGGCGAACGGGUGAGUAACACGUGAGUAACCUGCCCUUGACUUUGGGAUAACUUCAGGAAACUGGGGCUAAUACCGGAUAGGAGCUCCUGCUGCAUGGUGGGGGUUGGAAAGUUUCGGCGGUUGGGGAUGGACUCGCGGCUUAUCAGCUUGUUGGUGGGGUAGUGGCUUACCAAGGCUUUGACGGGUAGCCGGCCUGAGAGGGUGACCGGCCACAUUGGGACUGAGAUACGGCCCAGACUCCUACGGGAGGCAGCAGUGGGGAAUAUUGCACAAUGGGCGGAAGCCUGAUGCAGCAACGCCGCGUGCGGGAUGACGGCCUUCGGGUUGUAAACCGCUUUCGCCUGUGACGAAGCGUGAGUGACGGUAAUGGGUAAAGAAGCACCGGCUAACUACGUGCCAGCAGCCGCGGUGAUACGUAGGGUGCGAGCGUUGUCCGGAUUUAUUGGGCGUAAAGGGCUCGUAGGUGGUUGAUCGCGUCGGAAGUGUAAUCUUGGGGCUUAACCCUGAGCGUGCUUUCGAUACGGGUUGACUUGAGGAAGGUAGGGGAGAAUGGAAUUCCUGGUGGAGCGGUGGAAUGCGCAGAUAUCAGGAGGAACACCAGUGGCGAAGGCGGUUCUCUGGGCCUUUCCUGACGCUGAGGAGCGAAAGCGUGGGGAGCGAACAGGCUUAGAUACCCUGGUAGUCCACGCUGUAAACGGUGGGUACUAGGUGUGGGGUCCAUUCCACGGGUUCCGUGCCGUAGCUAACGCUUUGAGUACCCCGCCUGGGGAGUACGGCCGCAAGGCUAAAACUCAAAGGAAUUGACGGGGCCCCGCACAAGCGGCGGAGCAUGCGGAUUAAUUCGAUGCAACGCGUAGAACCUUACCUGGGUUUGACAUGGAUCGGGAGUGCUCAGAGAUGGGUGUGCCUCUUUUGGGGUCGGUUCACAGGUGGUGCAUGGCUGUCGUCAGCUCGUGUCGUGAGAUGUUGGGUUAAGUCCCGCAACGAGCGCAACCCUUGUUCACUGUUGCCAGCACGUUAUGGUGGGGACUCAGUGGAGACCGCCGGGGUCAACUCGGAGGAAGGUGGGGAUGACGUCAAGUCAUCAUGCCCCUUAUGUCCAGGGCUUCACGCAUGCUACAAUGGCUGGUACAGAGAGUGGCGAGCCUGUGAGGGUGAGCGAAUCUCGGAAAGCCGGUCUCAGUUCGGAUUGGGGUCUGCAACUCGACCUCAUGAAGUCGGAGUCGCUAGUAAUCGCAGAUCAGCAACGCUGCGGUGAAUACGUUCCCGGG
rnacentral:rRNA from 1 species